AUACUGCUGGAUGUUGUGGCUUCUUAAUAUUCAAGGAGAAAAUUAAUGUUAUGACAAGUAUCUCAGAUAUUUUUGCAACUCUAAUGCCACUUCAUCAGGCAGUCCAAUAAUCAUAGUAGUGAAAGGAAAGACUCGGAUUACUUCAACAGGCCUUGAAUCAAGCUCUUCGGUUCUGUGGGACUGCGAAUACAAGCUGAGGUACCUUGGAAUCAUACAUAGACAACUUAUCUCUGCUUUUUCGUUCUUCAGAGAAUUGGAGGAUUAUUUAGUUGUGGGCCCAGAAUGGAUAGCAUCUCAGCAACCUGUGCUCACAACGGAUUGGAAUUCCACAGUGCAGCAGUUUCCAUGGCAAAAUGGAUUAUGAAUGCUGCUAAUGCCACUUCUGUGGCUCAACUCCUCCUUCUCCUGACUUUUUUAAAACUUAAGUAAAAACCAUACUGGCCUUCUACAUUUGCAGGAAAUACAUUAUCAUGCAUCUAUAACCAAUGUACACUUUCAUGAUACUCUGGCUAUGAGGCAGAGAAUAUUUCACUUCGUUUCUUAAAGGUUACUAUCUACUAAAUAAAGCUAAGAAUGAAUGGCUGAAGGAGCCACUGGCAGGGAUAAAGACAGAAACCUCCAGAUACUGUUCCUUCCCAAUACUCUGCUCUUUAUUUUUAGGGAGAACACUCAUUCUACUUGAACCUUUGUUGUAAUCUUUUAAUGAUUAAAGUUUUACCUCAAGUA